GACGAACGCUGGCGGCGUGCUUAACACAUGCAAGUCGAACGGAAAGGCCCUGCUUUUGUGGGGUGCUCGAGUGGCGAACGGGUGAGUAACACGUGAGUAACCUGCCCUUGACUUUGGGAUAACUUCAGGAAACUGGGGCUAAUACCGGAUAGGAGCUCCUGCUGCAUGGUGGGGGUUGGAAAGUUUCGGCGGUUGGGGAUGGACUCGCGGCUUAUCAGCUUGUUGGUGGGGUAGUGGCUUACCAAGGCUUUGACGGGUAGCCGGCCUGAGAGGGUGACCGGCCACAUUGGGACUGAGAUACGGCCCAGACUCCUACGGGAGGCAGCAGUGGGGAAUAUUGCACAAUGGGCGGAAGCCUGAUGCAGCAACGCCGCGUGCGGGAUGACGGCCUUCGGGUUGUAAACCGCUUUCGCCUGUGACGAAGCGUGAGUGACGGGAAUGAGGAAAGAAGCACCGGCGACUACGUG
rnacentral:rRNA from 1 species